rnacentral:rRNA from 1 species
GACGAACGCUGGCGGCGUGCCUAAUACAUGCAAGUAGAACGAACAGUUUAUACCGUAGCUUGCUACACCAUAGACUGUGAGUUGCGAACGGGUGAGUAACGCGUAGGUAACCUGCCUGGUAGAGGGGGAUAACUACUGGAAACGAUAGCUAUUAUCGCAUAAUAUUAAUUAUUGCAUGAUAAUUAAUUGAAUUGCGCAAUUGUACCACUACAAGAUGGCCCUGUGUUGUAUUAGCUAGUAGGUGAGGUAACGGCUCACCUAGGCGACGAUACAUAGCCGACCUGGGAAGGGGGUCGGCCACACUGGGACUGAGACACGGCCCAAACUCCUAUGGGGAGCAGCAGGAGGGGAACUUCGGCAAAGGACGGAAGUCUGGCCGGACAACGCCGGGAUGGGUGAGGAGGUUUUCGGAUCGGAAAGCUCUGUUGUAAGGGAAGAACGGAUGUGGGAGUGGAAAGUUCACACUGUGACGGUAUCUUACCAGAAAGGGACGGCUAACUACGUG